GUCACAGCAGCAGUUUGCUAUGGCAUUGUGAUCAUGUGACCAGUUGGCAAUCAUGUGAUUAGCAGAUACCACUAAUUGCCUGCAUUCAGGGUCCUUUAAAAGCAAGCCACUGGCUGCUUGUAGCGAGGGGCCUUUGAUUGUGGCUGAUUUGCCAGUUUGGGUAGCGUCGUUGCUGUCCUUCAACCGCUCAGGAAUGGAGAACCGCUGCACUUCAUAGUGGCAAUCGCAUGAAGUAGCCUAGAGUAGUGUCUGCUACUGGCGGUGUGGCUCUGGAGCAGGAUGAAGUUGAUUUGGACCAAGAACCUUGCGACUUCACUGCUUGGUUGUCUUUUGGUAUGUAGAGGCCUUAUUCCCCCCACCUCUUCAUCGGAUUGUAAUCUAUCUUUACUGUGUGUGAGUCUCACUACCUGUCAUUGCAUUGCCAGGCAUUGGGCUGUUCUCCCUACUGCUGGUGGAGUUUGGGAUGUGGCAUUGCUGCUUGUGGUGGCGAUCUACAAAGCCUGGGGCUGACGGCUGAUGACCGGUUGCUGCUUUGUUUCCACUGAAUUUCCUGAAUGAAGAGAAGAUGCGUGUGCAUGUGGACCGAGUGUUGAGUGGGGACGGUGGGCCUAACGCCCAGUGUGAUGUAUGUGUGCCCCCAAACAGUGGCGCACAAUGAACUUCUGAACUGUGGGUGAGCGUGUGGAUGGUUUUCAUUUUUGGUUUGUUUUGUUGUCUGUUCUAUGUGAAUCAGACCAUUAAUUCUGUGUUUUGUUUGUUUGUUUGUUUUGUUUUAUACACUUCUCCCCCAUCCAACCAGUGCCUGGACUACCCCACUUUCCCUAGAGACUUGGUUUGCUGUGUUGUAGUUGUAGGGUGCCCUUUUGGCAUCAAAGUGUGUUUAUUGCAGUGUGAAUUAUAUGUGCAUCUUGUGUUUUAUACCAACUGUAACUUAAUGUUUGCAUGUCUUUAAUUAUGUAAGGGGUGUGGAAUAUCCAGUGGCCUUGGGGAUAAUGGAACUAACGUGGCAUGUGUAAAUACCCCCUGUCUGUUUUAGUCUGCCCACACUCAAGGCUUUCGCUACCCGUGACUUGGGUGUUUGUCUUCUCAAGACCUUGAGUUUUACGGAAGAAAAAGAAUAUUUAAAUAAAAGAAUUAAGUGUG